AUUGGAGGGGAAAUACCAAGUCACAGCCUGAAUCAACAGCUGAACACCAGGAUACCCUUUUCAAGAUGCUGUUGCUCUUUCUGUGAAGAGAAUAGAAAUGAUAGCAGAAAUAUACAGUGCAUGGUCAUGAACCCUGGCUUAUCUGGGACCUUGAAAGAGCCAUCUGUCUCAAAGAAAAGUAAUUCAGUGGGAGAGUGGAAGGAACCAUCACUGUGAGAAUUGGUUGAUCUCACCAGUAUCCAGAAGAUGUGAACGUGUAAGGAAACUGAUGCUGACAGUAUGCACUAACUCAGUUUGGAAUUGCUAAAGCUCUCAGCUAAAUCUGAGAUGAAAUUUGUUGUGCCUUGGAGUUUUUCCCUUCUCAUCUCCUUGGUCUGCUUGUUUAGUUGCUAAGUCAUGUAUUGAGUUUUCCACGAUAUUUUAUGUAUGUGUCUGAAUACUAAUAAUAUCAGAUACUUAUGCAGCAGAAGUUUGAAUGAAGUUUGUCUGUUUCCCUGUGACAUUCUUGUGAAAAAAAUUCUAUGUGGUAGUUCAUGCUCAAUGCUUGUGCUUGGUUGUUCAAGUAGCAGCUGUCUUUGAAUUGCCAGUCUUCUCUUAAAGAAACAUGUCCUGCUCAGCUCUGAAUCAGGUAGCUUAUCUCACCUCUGAGGCUGCACAUCAACCUGAGGUCUGGAGCGAAAUGACUUCUGUGCUAUCAGAUCAAUUUGCUGUGAGCAGCCCACAUCACAAUACUAACACACAUAAUUCAGCUGGCUCUAGCAGUUUAUUCAGUAGAAUGCUAGGCCUACAUCUGUGGGAGCACUGAAUUAUUUCUUCUCUCUGGAGACUGAGAGUCAGAAAAGAUCCCUUCAGGUCAGGACUGAAGUCUCAGAGGGAAGCCAGCAGUGCGGCAGCUAAAUCUUACUUCAGCAUGCUGAGUGUUGAGUAUCCAACACUUUCCAAGGCUAAAACAGUGAAGGUUAAGAGGCUAAUCUUCUCAAGAACAGAUGAUCAUAGAAACUAAUGAGACAUACACAGAUUGCAUGUGGUUUCCUGAUUAUCCUACUUAAUAACUGCUUUCUCUGAAAUUAGGGCCUUUACUCUGUUUGGAAAAUAGUAGCAUUUAUUCUGUGAGUAUCCACAGAUGCAUUUGAUCAGCUGAAAAGAUUUUUUUUAUUAUUAUUUUCCUUCUUAGAAACAGUUGCACUGCCCUUCACAAGCUUAUUUCAUGAUGAAGACACGUUCAACAAAUUUGACAUUUCACACACACGUAACAAGUCAUAUUAAGCACUGUUUUCUUUUAUUGCUGAUAACCAGGGUUAUUUUUGUAGAAAUAAGAUGUAGUUUUAGUAGUACGUCUGUCAAAAUAUUUAACUUUUUGGCCACCAGUCUUGAAGUUGAUGUCUAAUUACUAUUUUUAUUUCUGUUACAAAUAUCUGAAGAAAAGCAGAUG
ensembl:lncRNA